CCUACGGGUGGCAGCAGUGGGGGAUCUUGCACAAUGGAGGAAACUCUGAUGCAGCGACGCCGCGUGAGUGAAGACGGUUUUCGGAUUGUAAACCUCUGUCUUUGGGGAAGAAAAUGACGGUACCUAAAGAGGAAGCUCCGGCUAACUACGUGCCAGCAGCCGCGGUAAUACGUAGGGAGCGAGCGUUGUCCGGAAUUACUGGGUGUAAGGGGAGCGGAGGCGGGCGAGAAAGUUGAAUGUUAAAGCAACGGGCUAAACUGGUAGCUGCGUUCGAAACUUCUUGUCUUGAGUGAAGUAGAGGCAGGCGGAAUUCCUAGUGUAGCGGUGAAAUGCGUAGAUAUUAGGAGGAACACCAGUGGCGAAGGCGGCUUACUGGACUGUAACUGACGUUGAGGCUCGAAAGCGUGGGGAGCAAACAGGAUUAGAUACCCCAGUAGUC
rnacentral:rRNA from 1 species